GAUCAUGGCUCAGGAUGAACGCUGGCGGCGUGCUUAACACAUGCAAGUCGAACGAAGCAAUUAGAGUGCUUGCACUUUGAUUGACUGAGUGGCGGACGGGUGAGUAACGCGUGGGUAACCUGCCUCACACAGGGGGACAACAGUUGGAAACGACUGCUAAUACCGCAUAAGCGCACAGUACCGCAUGGUACAAUGAUCAAAGAUUUAUCGCUUGAAGAUGGACUCGCGUCUGAUUAGCUAGUUGGUGGGGUAACGGCUCACCAAGGCGACGAUCAGUAGCCGAACUGAGAGGUUGAUCGGCCACAUUGGGACUGAGACACGGCCCAGACUCCUACGGGAGGCAGCAGUGGGGAAUAUUGCGCAAUGGGGGCAACCCUGACGCAGCAACGCCGCGUUAAGGAUGAAGGCUUUCGGGUUGUAAACUUAUGUCGGGUGGGAAGAUAAUGACGGUACCACCGGAGAAAGUCACGGCUAACUACGUG
rnacentral:rRNA from 1 species